GCCAUAUGUUGAUGUUUAUGGGGUUAGCUAGCUCCAAGUCCCUGUUUUACAAGGGGAACCUACUUGGGCUGUUACAUUCAAAUGAUAUGAAUGGACUUCUCUGAGGC